ACUAUAUAUAUAUAAUAGAACACUAAACACUAUUUAUGUAAAUGCCCAUUUUUAAGUUUGUAAAAUAAUAAUUUGUUUUUAUAAAAAAUCUGGCUAUGCCUAUAGUACUCUUAACAAAAUUAUGACUAAAAAUAUUAUGAACGUCGAGUCUCUAGAUUCAUCAUCUUUGUGUGUCUGAUAAAUCCAGAGAAUGAAGAUAUAGAAUCUAUAUAGGCCCCCUAUUAUAUAGAAUCUAGCUCUAGUUGACUCUAGACUAGAUCUAGGAUAAUUUCAAGUCUAGAUGUUCAGCUUCAUCUUACCUUGAUCUUGAUGAUUAAUUUUAAUCUGACUUCCUGACUUGUUAACUUAAACUUCGUCUUACUUAGCCCUUAGGCGCCUUAGCCUUAGCUUCUUCAUAUGUGAAUCAUGAAUGGAAGUGCUUGGCUCACAGUGUCACAGAUCGUUCUUUAAACUAUUUGAAGAUCUACUUUAUCUUUACUAACGACUCUAAUCUAUAUCUAGUUUAUAUCUAUAUUUUAUAUGAUAAUAAUAGACCUAGACUCUUAUACUUAUAAUAAAGACAAAGUUAUAAGAUCUAGAAUCUGUAUCUAGAUCUAUUCCCAUUUGUGAUUUAUACACUGAUUAUACACUACAGAUUUAAUGUUUCUGAUGAGCAAUACUACUAUCUACAGCCAUGCCCAUUAACAUAGACCCUACUCAUGUACUAGAUCUAGCUCUUUUGAUCACAACUCAUAUCUUGCCUAGAUAUAAACAACUGUACUAGAUUGGACUAGACAUUCUAAUCGGUUCUAUUUUCGUUUUUCAUUAUUCUCACAUAUUCUAGUAGGCAAUAGGUACCAAAUUGUGCUAUUUAUUCACUGUAGAUCUAGAUCUUAACUUUUCUCUUAACUACCAAAGAAGUACACAAAGAAUGUUGAAAGGUACCCAAAGGGCUCUAAUUGCUACCAUUCAAUGUGUGGAUUCAAGUAUUUACCCAGAUACUGCCACAAUAUGCUGUUAUUGUUUUCAAAGGAGUUUUCACACAGUGCCAGAAGCUGUAUAAAUACAUUUAACAAUGUAUAUUUCAAGAAGAAAUGAUGCUUUCUUAUUUCUAAGAGUUUAUCAAUAGGAUGAAUGCCACAAAACUCACUUGUUAUGCCAGAAACUCUUCCUACGAAACUUCCAUACUAGAAUUUGUCCAGUGCCUGUGAUCCUCUGAGUUGAAGGAGAAUGUGCUCCAUAAUACCUACUAGGAGCUUGCUGAUAGCUGGAAGUUCAUGAAUACUAUGUUGUCCUUGAUUUGAUGAUUCUGAAAACUACCAUUUCUGAAGACUUGAGCAUUAUUUCUAUAAUUUAAAAAAAUCUUUUCAGGAAAUAUUGUGUUUAUAAUAUUAAGAAAGUGAAGAUAAUAUUGUUCUUACUAAUAUUAUUGACUUAUUAAAAUAGAAAGCACAUCAUUACCAAUAUUCACUUGUCAAUAAAUGUUAGCAUUAUUCAAUUUUUAGUUACAUGUUCAAACUAUUAAAUUUUAUUAUUUAAAUUAUAGCAACUUUCUCUUUCAGUACAGCUUAAGAUACAUUCCUGUAAAAAGUCUACAAUAAUAAGUUAAUGUCGAUGUAGUAUUGUUCAGACACUUACAAGUUUAAUCAUCUAUACUUCACAAAAAAAAAGUGUUUGAAUGGUUUUCAUUUGUUUGUACAUCAAAUAUGUAUUAAUAUAAUUAUCAUUUUUAGAUGAAACAUUAAAUACUGAAGAUGACCAUUUCAAUUUCUGAUGUAGGCCUAUUCUCAUUUCAUGAAAUAAACAGAAUAUUAUCUGAAAUUUCA